AGUGAACGCUGGCGGUAGGCCUAACACAUGCAAGUCGAACGGCAGCACAGUAAGAGCUUGCUCUUACGGGUGGCGAGUGGCGGACGGGUGAGGAAUACAUCGGAAUCUACUUUUUCGUGGGGGGUAACGUAGGGAAACUUACGCUCAUACCGCAUACGACCUACGGGUGAAAGCAGGGGAUCUUCGGACCUUGCGCGAAUGAAUGAGCCGAUGUCGGAUUAGCUAGUUGGCGGGGUAAAGGCCCACCAAGGCGACGAUCCGUAGCUGGUCUGAGAGGAUGAUCAGCCACACUGGAACUGAGCCACGGUCCAGACUCCUACGGGAGGCAGCAGUGGGGAAUAUUGGACAAUGGGCGCAAGCCUGAUCCAGCCAUACCGCGUGGGUGAAGAAGGCCUUCGGGUUGUAAAGCCCUUUUGUUGGGAAAGAAAAGCAGCAGGUUAAUACCCCGCUGUUCUGACGGUACCCAAAGAAUAAGCACCGGCUAACUUCGUG
rnacentral:rRNA from 1 species